CCGUCACAUAAACGUGUGCGUCGAUCGC
rnacentral:piRNA from 1 species